rnacentral:rRNA from 1 species
UGGGGAAUAUUGCACAAUGGGCGCAAGCCUGAUGCAGCCAUGCCGCGUGUAUGAAGAAGGCCUUCGGGUUGUAAAGUACUUUCAGCGGGGAGGAAGGGAGUAAAGUUAAUACCUUUGCUCAUUGACGUUACCCGCAGAAGAAGCACCGGCUAACUCCGUGCCAGCAGCCGCGGUAAUACGGAGGGUGCAAGCGUUAAUCGGAAUUACUGGGCGUAAAGCGCACGCAGGCGGUUUGUUAAGUCAGAUGUGAAAUCCCCGGGCUCAACCUGGGAACUGCAUCUGAUACUGGCAAGUUUGAGUCUCGUAGAGGGGGGUAGAAUUCCAGGUGUAGCGGUGAAAUGCGUAGAGAUCUGGAGGAAUACCGGUGGCGAAGGCGGCCCCCUGGACGAAGACUGACGCUCAGGUGCGAAAGCGUGGGGAGCAAACAGG